ACGUAGGGCGCGAGCGUUGUCCGGAUUUAUUGGGCGUAAAGAGCUCGUAGGCGGUGUGUCACGUCGAUCGUGAAAACUUGGGGCUUAACCCUGAGCUUGCGGUCGAUACGGGCAUCACUGGAGUUCGGCAGGGGAGACUGGAAUUCCUGGUGUGGCGGUGAAAUGCGCAGAUAUCAGGAGGAACACCUGUGGCGAAGGCGGCUUCCUGGCCCGCAACUGACGCUGAGGCGCGAAAGCUAGGGGAGCAAACAGGA
rnacentral:rRNA from 1 species